UCUUCUUUUUGUUUUCUUCUCCAUUUUCAAGCUCAAAUGGCAAGGGCUUUACCCGCAAUCACCUCUACGGUUGGGGGAUUCGAAUGGUGGAAUGAAAUUGAUGAAUCUGAGGAUUGGCAGAAAGGGAUUUACUACGCCUUGUCCGCCUCUUAUGCCCUCAUCUCCCUCAUUGCCUUAGUUCAACUUAUUCGGAUUCAAAUAAGAGUACCAGAAUUCGAGUGGACUACACAAAAGGGGUUCCAUUUGAUGAAUUUCGUUGUAAAUGGAUUGAGGGCUAUUCUCUUUGGGCUUUAUAAGAGUGUCUUCCUCAUUAGAGCGAAGGUUCUUGAACUGGUGGUUAUGGAGAUCCCUGGACUUCUAUUUUUUUCAACCUACACACUGCUUGUUCUAUUUUGGGCAGAGAUAUACCAUCAGGCGCGAAGUCUGCCUAUUCAUAAACUCAAGCCUACUUACUGUAUCAUCAAUGGAGUUGUGUACGUUAUACAGAUCUGCAUUUGGAUAAUUUUGAUGUUAGACCAUUCUCCUGGUUCAGUUAUAGCUGCUAAGCUCUUCUUUUCAGUGGUUUCAUUUUCUGCUGCACUGGGUUUCCUGAUAUACGGUGGGAGGCUAUUUGUCAUGCUGAGGCAGUUCCCUAUUGAAUCUAGAGGACGCCAAAAAAAGUUGUAUGAGGUUGGGUGCGUGACAACAAUUUGUUUUAGCUGUUUCUUUAUACGAUGUUUUGUGCUUGCCCUAUCUGCAUUUGACAAGGAUGCAGACCUUGACGUUCUAGAUCAUCCCAUUCUUAACCUGAUAUACUACAUGUUGGUAGAGGUUGUUCCUUCGGCAUUGGUUCUGUUUAUACUGAGAAAACUUCCUCCGAGGCGUGUAUCUGAUCGGUACCACCCCAUUGAGUGAAGCUCGCAACAGUAGAUGACGUUUUAUUUUUAGGACUUUGAUUAGAGAGCUCUGUUUUUCUCUAGAUUACAAUAUACUCGUAUGAUCACUUCUAAUUUAAUCCAAAAAGUAGUUCUAUGAGCCGGAAACAAAAUAUGGCCAAAAGAAUACAUGUUUCGACGUGCAUGCUACUGUGCAGUUGGUAGAGUUUGUUCCAUCAGCAUUGGUUCUGUUUAUACUGAGAAAACUUCCUCCGAGGCGUGUAUCUGAUCGGUACCACCCCAUUGAGUGAAGCUCGCAACAGUAGAUGACGUUUUAUUUUUAGGACUUUGAUUAGAGAGCUCUGUUUUUCUCUAGAUUACAAUAUACUCGUAUGAUCACUUCUAAUUUAAUCCAAAAAGUAGUUCUAUGAGCCGGAAACAAAAUAUGGCCAAAAGAAUACAUGUUUCGACGUGCAUGCUACUGUGCAGUUGGUAGAGUUUGUUCCAUCA
rnacentral:misc_RNA from 1 species